GAAGGCAUCUUUUUAUUUUUAAAAGACCUAGCAAUAGGUAUGCUUAGGGAAGAGCUUGCGUCACAUUAGUUAGUUGGUGGGGUAAUGGCCUACCAAGACGAUGAUGUGUAGCCGGGCUGAGAGGUCGAACGGCCACAUUGGGACUGAGACACGGCCCAAACUCCUACGGGAGGCAGCAGUAAGGAAUUUUCGGCAAUGGAGGAAACUCUGACCGAGCAAUGCCGCGUGAACGAUGAAGUAUUUCGGUACGUAAAGUUCUUUUAUUAGGGAAGAAAAGAUGGUGGAAAAACCAUUAUGACGGUACCUAAUGAAUAAGCCCCGGCUAACUAUGUGCCAGCAGCCGCGGUAAUACAUAGGGGGCAAGCGUUAUCCGGAAUUAUUGGGCGUAAAGGGUGCGUAGGCGGUUAAAUAAGUUUAUGGUCUAAGUGCAACGCUCAACGUUGUGAUGCUAUAAAAACUGUUUAGCUAGAGUUGGAUAGAGGCAAGUGGAAUUCCGUGUGUAGUGGUAAAAUGCGUAAAUAUACGGAGGAACACCAGAAGCGAAGGCGGCUUGCUGGGUCUUAACUGACGCUGAGGCACGAAAGCGUGGGGAGCAAACAGGAUUAGAUACCCUGGUAGUCCACGCCCUAAACGAUGAGUACUAAACGUUGGAUAAAACCAGUGUUGAAGUUAACACAUUAAGUACUCCGCCUGAGUAGUACGUACGCAAGUAUGAAACUUAAAGGAAUUGACGGGACUCCGCACAAGCGGUGGAUCAUGUUGUUUAAUUCGAAGGUACCCGAAAAACCUCACCAGGUCUUGACAUGCUUUUGCAAAGCUGUAGAAAUACAGUGGAGGUUAUCAGAAGCACAGGUGGUGCAUGGUUGUCGUCAGCUCGUGUCGUGAGAUGUUGGGUUAAGUCCCGCAACGAGCGCAACCCUUGUUGUUAAUUGCCAUCAUUAAGUUGGGGACUUUAGCAAGACUGCCAAUGAUAAAUUGGAGGAAGGUGGGGACGACGUCAAAUCAUCAUGCCCCUUAUGACCUGGGCUACAAACGUGAUACAAUGGCUGUUACAAAGGGUAGCUAAAGCGUAAGCUUCUGGCGAAUCUCAAAAAAGCAGUCUCAGUUCGGAUUGAAGUCUGCAACUCGACUUCAUGAAGUUGGAAUCGCUAGUAAUCGCGAAUCAGCAUGUCGCGGUGAAUACG
rnacentral:rRNA from 1 species